GCCCUGUGGUUGCUGGAUGCUGUUGUGAAGUACAGCUCUCUAGCGGAUACCGUGGGCCACAGCAAUCCUGUGAUUGAUGCAUGGAGGCUGUUUCUUCUCAGCAGCUGCCAUAGCCCGGUCACUGGUACAUGG
rnacentral:snoRNA from 1 species